ACCAGAACAGCAAUUCUCAACUCCCAGUAGUGGAUACUGGCCACAUAACCACUAGAUCUCUAUAUACAAUGGGUAAUUUCUGGCAGGUUAGCCAUAACAACAUCCCAUUCCUACUCAGGAAAGCACAUUGGAAUUCACGGAAAUCCAAGAAAAUUCCAGCACUGAAUCAAUACUCCACUGAGCUGACUAGGCAAUCCAUCUGAUCCCUCUAAAAGUCCUUUUGCCCUUCCUUCUGUUGAGUCUGAGAUAGCAGCAACUUCUGCUUCCUGGCACAGUGACCAAACCAUCUGCUGACCAGGGGAAGCAGCCUGGAUCAUGUUCACAUGUCGGAAUAUCUCCUAAGCAAUAAAUCAGAGGGUUCUCUGGACCCAGCAAAACGCAGAGUAGUAAGAAUUCU
rnacentral:lncRNA from 1 species